GCUCGCAUCGUCUAGCGGUAGGACACAUCCCUUUCAAGGAUGGAACACGGGUUCGAUUCCCGUUGUGAGUG
rnacentral:tRNA from 1 species